rnacentral:rRNA from 1 species
UACAGAGGUCCCGAGCGUUGUUCGGAUUCACUGGGCGUAAAGGGUGCGUAGGUGGCGUGGUAAGUUUGAUGUGAAAGCUCAGGGCUUAACCCUGAAAUGGCAUUGAAUACUACUGUGCUGGAGGUUUGGAGGGGGGACUGGAAUUCUUGGUGUAGCAGUGAAAUGCGUAGAUAUCAAGAGGAACACCAGUGGCGAAGGUGAGUCCCUGGACAACACCUGACACUGAGGCACGAAAGCUAGGGGAGCAAACAGG